rnacentral:rRNA from 1 species
AAAUUGAAGAGUUUGAUCAUGGCUCAGAUUGAACGCUGGCGGCAGGCCUAACACAUGCAAGUCGAACGGUAACAGGAAGCAGCUUGCUGCUUCGCUGACGAGUGGCGGACGGGUGAGUAAUGUCUGGGAAACUGCCUGAUGGAGGGGGAUAACUACUGGAAACGGUGGCUAAUACCGCAUAACGUCGCAAGACCAAAGAGGGGGACCUUCGGGCCUCUUGCCAUCAGAUGUGCCCAGAUGGGAUUAGCUAGUUGGUGAGGUAACGGCUCACCAAGGCGACGAUCCCUAGCUGGUCUGAGAGGAUGACCAGCCACACUGGAACUGAGACACGGUCCAGACUCCUACGGGAGGCAGCAGUGGGGAAUAUUGCACAAUGGGCGCAAGCCUGAUGCAGCCAUGCCGCGUGUAUGAAGAAGGCCUUCGGGUUGUAAAGUACUUUCAGCGGGGAGGAAGGUGUUGUGGUUAAUAACCACAGCAAUUGACGUUACCCGCAGAAGAAGCACCGGCUAACUCCGUGCCAGCAGCCGCGGUAAUACGGAGGGUGCAAGCGUUAAUCGGAAUUACUGGGCGUAAAGCGCACGCAGGCGGUCUGUCAAGUCGGAUGUGAAAUCCCCGGGCUCAACCUGGGAACUGCAUUCGAAACUGGCAGGCUUGAGUCUUGUAGAGGGGGUAGAAUUCCAGGUGUAGCGGUGAAAUGCGUAGAGAUCUGGAGGAAUACCGGUGGCGAAGGCGGCCCCCUGGACAAAGACUGACGCUCAGGUGCGAAAGCGUGGGGAGCAAACAGGAUUAGAUACCCUGGUAGUCCACGCCGUAAACGAUGUCUACUUGGAGGUUGUGCCCUUGAGGCGUGGCUUCCGGAGCUAACGCGUUAAGUAGACCGCCUGGGGAGUACGGCCGCAAGGUUAAAACUCAAAUGAAUUGACGGGGGCCCGCACAAGCGGUGGAGCAUGUGGUUUAAUUCGAUGCAACGCGAAGAACCUUACCUGGUCUUGACAUCCACAGAACUUUCCAGAGAUGGAUUGGUGCCUUCGGGAACUGUGAGACAGGUGCUGCAUGGCUGUCGUCAGCUCGUGUUGUGAAAUGUUGGGUUAAGUCCCGCAACGAGCGCAACCCUUAUCCUUUGUUGCCAGCGGUUAGGCCGGGAACUCAAAGGAGACUGCCAGUGAUAAACUGGAGGAAGGUGGGGAUGACGUCAAGUCAUCAUGGCCCUUACGACCAGGGCUACACACGUGCUACAAUGGCGCAUACAAAGAGAAGCGACCUCGCGAGAGCAAGCGGACCUCAUAAAGUGCGUCGUAGUCCGGAUUGGAGUCUGCAACUCGACUCCAUGAAGUCGGAAUCGCUAGUAAUCGUGGAUCAGAAUGCCACGGUGAAUACGUUCCCGGGCCUUGUACACACCGCCCGUCACACCAUGGGAGUGGGUUGCAAAAGAAGUAGGUAGCUUAACCUUCGGGAGGGCGCUUACCACUUUGUGAUUCAUGACUGGGGUGAAGUCGUAACAAGGUAACCGUAGGGGAACCUGCGGUUGGAUCACCUCCUUA